rnacentral:sRNA from 1 species
CCCCUGUAACAACCCAAUCACCUGGUCCAACACCAGCCCCUCCAUCGUCAACAGCGGUUCCUGGGGCCGGUGGGGGAGGGGCUUCGCCGGAAGCAACCACUUCGGAGGAAACCACCACAGAAACAACAAUGACCACAACAGAAACAACAGUGGCCACAACAGAAACAACAAUGGCCACCACCACUUCCGCCCCCACCCGUGUUUACUCCUCGGCCCCCGAAAUCAUCUCGUUCCUGGAAAACACUUUUACUGACGCGACGGCCACUUAUAACAGUUUGAUUUUUCCGAGAAAUACAUUCAGUGAAACCAUUCUCGUAGACAUUGGUUUCAAGUUGACAGCCAUCACAGACUUUGAUGAACUUGCUGGAACGCUGGAAGUCAUAGGGAUCUUGACCAUUUCCUGGUAUGAUCAACUAGCAGACGAUGAUUAUGACUCGGACAAGCACGGACAUUUUACCGAAACCACCAUUCCUAAUCAGUUUGUAUGGAAACCUCCAGUCUCUUUAUUUAAUUCAGCAUUAGCUAUUGUGCCAGUUGGAGACAAGGCUAACUAUGUUCGUCUGUUUAGGACCACAAAGCAGUCUGACCCUUACUACGGGUAUGCAAGAAUGGUAUGGACCCCUGGCGUGGUCACAAAAACGGGAUGUGUGGUUGAUGUAGCUUAUUUUCCUUUUGAUAAACAGUCCUGUAAUAUCACUUUCACAAAUUGGGGUUUCACAAAGGACCAGGUGAAAUUUGAACCCUCUGCUGAUACCAUAGAUCUGCAAGACUUCUCACCGUCGGACGAAUGGACCGUAACCAAAACGAGACUGAUUGAAGAAACGCUGGACAACGGCUCGUUCGUUAAGUUCGAGAUUUCUUUAGAAAGAAAGCCUUUGUACUAUUUGAUCAACUUCUUCCUACCGAUUGUUAUAAUGGGUAUUCUAAACGCCCUUGGUAUUUAUCUUGCCUUUGGAAAGCGGGGAGAGAGUGGGGUAUUCUGUGACGUCAUUCCUGACGUUUGCCGUGUAUUUGACUUUAAUUGCCGACGGGAUGCCGCGAACGUCUGAGCCGAUGGCCAUUAUGAGUUACUACCUAGUAUCCAUGGUCGUCAUGAGCUGCGUAGCCACAAUAAUUACCAUUUUCACCUUACGGGUUUACCUAAAAGAUGAAGACGACCCCAUUCCAACGCCCGUCACCCUCUUAGUCGCCUGCCUUAACUGCUUGGUUUGCACGCGAGACGAUGAAGAUGAUGACGAAGACGAUGAGAUGCCAUUGCUGGGCUCUGAUGGAAUAGAAAUGGAUACCAUGAGGAAAGGGUCGGCCAGGAAACGCCCGUCACCCAUCGAGGAUAACACAAGCUGGACCAGUUAUGUACCCGAUAACAAAUACGAGGUCGACUGGAAACUGGUGGCCAGCACAUUGGAUGGGUUCUCUUUCGUGGGUAUUCUUGGGGGAAGUAUUGCUAUAGCUGUUGUGUUUCUUGUUCCUCUUUUGGCCCAGUGGUAAACGGAUAAUAUUAACGCAAAGUCGAAUUUUUGCGCGUAAUGUAUAAGAAAAACUCCUGACUUAGAUAGUAGUCACGACUUUAGUAGUUCAAUAUGUCUCUGUUGAGAAAACUAUAUCGAAAAAAAUGUGUGCACAAUCUGGAAAAUGCUUUUUGAAAAUAUACAUGUACUUAAAUAUAUUUAAUUUUGUAUUUUUGUAGUUCUAUAAACACGGUGAAUUUUUUUUUCAUUAAUUCUUUCUUUUAUUUUCCCAAUUAAUAAUUUUCCAAAAUAUUAUUAUUUUGUAUAUGAUGCUUAUGUCAUUUUAUAAUACAAUAAAUUCAAAUUGAAUUUCUGAAAACAUCAAAAUCAUUAAAAUGUUCUUUUUCGAGUGUGCGCUAUAGGAACCGCACAAUAAAGCGGAUUGACAAGAUAUAAGUUAUCAUAAUAUAUAUUUAGAUAUACAGUUAAUCUUCGAUAUCUCGAACACCGAUAUCUCGGAUACAAAGGAUAUGUCGAAGUAAUUUUUAAGUCUCAACCACCUAUUUUUAAAGUAUUUUACCCUCGAUAUCUCGAAUAUUCGGAUAUUUGAAGUUUUUUAACAGCCCCAUCUAGUUCGAGAUAACGAAGUUUGAAUGUAUAUGAGUCUAAAUCGGAAAAGCACAAAAGACCUUAUCUUCUACAUCAAUUAUAUUUUUAAAUGAUGUAUAUUAUUUCUAUUUGUUAUACCAAAAAGAAUUUAAAAUUUUAUUUACGGCCUGUGCUAUAGAAUAUUUUUUUGUUUUUGUUAUUUUUUCUCUCGGUUUGUUAAUGUUAAAUACGUGUACUGUGUCAAUUGUACGUUUUUAGAACUCUUUUCGCUUUUAUAUUUAUUGAUCUUUAUGUAUUAAUUCUGAUACAUACUGUUUUCUUGAAU